ACGUGGCCAAGUGGUAAGGCAGCAGGUUUUGAUCCCAUUACUCGGAGGUUCCAAUCCUUUCGU
rnacentral:tRNA from 1 species